rnacentral:rRNA from 1 species
UACAGAGGGGGCAAGCGUUGUUCGGAAUUACUGGGCGUAAAGGGCGCGUAGGCGGCCUGUUAAGUCGAACGUGAAAUCCCCGGGCUCAACCCGGGAACUGCGUCCGAUACUGGCAGGCUUGAAUCCGGGAGAGGGAUGCGGAAUUCCAGGUGUAGCGGUGAAAUGCGUAGAUAUCUGGAGGAAUACCGGUGGUGUAGACGGCUCUCUGGACCGCGACUGACGCUGAGACACGAAAGCGUGGGUAGCAAACAGG